rnacentral:rRNA from 1 species
AUUGAACGCUGGCAGCAGGCCUAACACAUGCAAGUCGAGCGGAGCUGCGGUCGGGUGAGUAAUUCCUAGUAAUCUGCCUGUUAUUGGUGGAUAACGUCCGGAAACGGGCUCUAAUACCGCAUACUAUCACAUGAGCCUACGUCGGAUUAGCUAGUUGUUGGGGUAUAGGCCUACCAAGGCGACGCUCCGUAACUGGUCUGAGUGGAUGAUAAGUCACAGUGGAACUGAGACACGGUCAAGAGUCCUACGGGGGGCAGCAGUGGGGAAUAUUGGACAAUGGGCGAAAGCCUGAACCAGAAAUGCAGAGUGUGUGAAGAAGGUAUUCGGAUUGUAAAGCACUUUAAGUUGGGAGGCGUUACCAACAGAAUAAGCACCGGCGAACUUCGUGCCAGCAGCCGCGGUAAUAC